GGCAAAUGAUUCAACGCGAGGCAAGAGUUGCUUCAGAUGCUGUCUUUUGCGGUCCUCCGAGAGGUUAGGGAUUUGGGAGGUCCCUGGGGGCCAUCUCUUACAAGACACAGUUUCCACUAAAUUGGAUCGUAUUUGUACAUCUCUACACCUGUGCGUGAUAGUAAACGUUUGCACCCAAAUACCCCGACCCCUGAAGGAGAGUGUGAGUUAAAAGGAUCUGAAGAACGGACCCUUUAAGCCUUCUUCACUGGUGGUAUACUUACGAGGACCAGAGGUGAGGUGUCAGCAAGGAGGCUCACAGGUGGAAAGUGCUUUGGGCCAAUGGUACACACCUGCUUUAUUGGAUAGAAGCAGAGAAGUAUGCCUGGUCACAGCCAGAGCUUACUAGGUCAAGAAAUUAUGAGCUCCCCAGAAGUCUCUCGCAUGCUGUCUCCUAGUUGUGAGCGCCUUUUACCAAAGGUAACCAUCAUUCUAACUUCUUUGACCAUGGAUUGGUUUUGGUUGUUUCUGGACUUUGAGCUUUGGAAUUGUACCACAUAUAUUCCUUUGUGUCUGGCUUCUUGUGGUCAGUAUUAUGUCCUUGAAAUUCAUCUAUGCUGUAUGACAUCGUAAGCAAUUAUUUGUCAUUGCUGAGUGGUAUUUCUAUUACGUGAAACUGACAACAUUUUCUUUUAUCUCUUUCACUGUUGAUGGACAUUGGGUUCAUUCAAUUUGGGGCUUCUACAAAUAAUGCUGCAACAAACAUUUGAACAUUCUGUCUUUUGGUCCACAUACAUUUACACUUUCAUUUGGAUAUGUAGUAGGGAGUGGAAUUGUUGGAUUAUAGGCAAUGUGUAUGUUCAGUUUGAGUACAUACUGCUGAAGAGUUUUUCAAAGUGGUUGCAUCAAUUUACGUUCCUUCCAGCACCAAUUUACACUCAUAAACAUGCUCACCACCACUUGGAGUUCUCAGUUGUUAUUGUUGGCUUUCAUUUUAGUUAUUCUGGAGGGUGCAUAACUAAUUGCUUUCUAAAGCUUCAAUAUCCUCCUUGGGGCAUGAAACAAAACUCUAAGUGGGCUCUGGAAUCAGACUGCCUGGUUCAAAUCCUGGCUCAGCCACUAGUAGGAUAAUGUGUAGAUAUUACAUUAAUUCUCUUAGCUUCAAAUUCUUGUCUGUAAAAUAGAGAAAGUAGCAUCUGCCUUAUAGAGUUUUUGUGGGGAAUAAAUGAAUAUGUGUUUGUGUUUGUGUAUAACUUUUUAUAUAUAUAGUUUAGCAUAGUGCCUGGCACAUAGUGAGUUCUCAAUAACUGGUAGCUAUAAUUAUUCUUGCUACUAUUUAUGGACCUUCCAGUUAUGUCUGAAAACACUGGAAUGAUAAUCUCACAUGUAUUAUCUCAUUCAUGACAUGGUAUAUUUCAAUCUGGAAAGAUGGGUAUUAAACUUAAAAGAAGCGGAGUCAUUAUUUGAACUAGUAUCCCCUAACCUCACACCCACCUUGUCCUUGCUUUCCUUAUAACAAUGUUUAAGAGUCAGUUGAUUCAAAGAAAUGUGAUAUAGGGGAUUUAACUAAUGACUGGAC